CCUACGGGGGGCUGCAGUGGGGGAUAUUGCACAAUGGGGGGAACCCUGAUGCAGCGACGCCGCGUGGGUGAAGAAGCGCCUCGGCGCGUAAAGCCCUGUCAGCAGGGAAGAAAAUGACGGUACCUGAAGAAGAAGCCCCGGCUAACUACGGGCCAGCAGCCGCGGUAAUACGGAGGGGGCAAGCCGUAUCCGGAUUUACUGGGUGUUAAGGGGGCGCAAUCGGCGCUGCAAGCCCGGAGUGAAAGCCCCGGGGCCAACCCCGGGACUGCCGUUGGAACUGCAUGGCUGGAGUGCGGGAGGGGCAGGCGGAAUUCCUGGUGUAGCGGUGAAAUGCGUAGAUAUCAGGAGGAACACCGGUUGCGAAGGCGGCCUGCUGGACUGCAACUGACGUUGAGGCCCGAAAGCGUGGGGAGCAAACAGGAUUAGAUACCCGGGUAGUC
rnacentral:rRNA from 1 species